UACGGAGGAUGCGAGCGUUAUCCGGAUUUAUUGGGUUUAAAGGGUGCGUAGGCGAGCUUUUAAGUCGGCGGUAAAAAUUCGGGGCUCAACCCCGUCCGGCCGUUGAAACUGGGGGUCUUGAGUGGGCGAGAAGAAGGCGGAAUGCGUGGUGUAGCGGUGAAAUGCAUAGAUAUCACGCAGAACCCCGAUUGCGAAGGCAGCCUUCCGGCGCCCUACUGACGCUGAGGCACGAAAGUGCGGGGAUCGAACAGG
rnacentral:rRNA from 1 species